rnacentral:rRNA from 1 species
ACUCCUACGGGAGGCAGCAGUGGGGAAUAUUGGACAAUGGGCGCAAGCCUGAUCCAGCAACGCCGCGUGGGUGAAGAAGGCCUUCGGGUUGUAAAGCUCUUUCGGCCGGGAAGAAAUCGUGUUUUCUAACAUAGGACAUGGAUGACGGUACCGGACUAAGAAGCACCGGCUAACUACGUGCCAGCAGCCGCGGUAAU